rnacentral:rRNA from 1 species
CUGGGUUAGACAACGGUGGACAGCCCCAGAAAUGGGGUCUUCCCUUCGGGGACUGCCGGUUCAGGUGCUGCAUGGCUGUCGUCAGCUCGUGCCGUGAGGUGUUGGGUUAAGUCCCGCAACGAGCGCAACCCUCGCCCUUAGUUGCCAUCAUUAAGUUGGGCACUCUAGGGGGACUGCCGGCGUUAAGCCGGAGGAAGGCGGGGACGACGUCAAGUCAUCAUGGCCCUUAUAUCCAGGGCUACACACGUGCUACAAUGGGCGGUACAAAGGGCUGCAAACCCGCGAGGGGGAGCCAAUCCCAAAAAGCCGCUCUCAGUUCGGAUUGGAGUCUGCAACUCGACUCCAUGAAGGCGGAAUCGCUAGUAAUCGCGGAUCAGCACGCCGCGGUGAAUACGUUCCC